UUGAGGAGUCUCACAGUUUUCAGGCCAUUCAUCUUACGGGAGAGUUUUACACUGUCACAGUACACGAUAAAAAGCUGAAAGGAAGAAAAUAAUAAAAUAGCAGCUAUAGGUCAAUCAAAGUAGGAACUAUUAGUCUUCUUUAAUAGUUCCUUUAAUCCUGUACUCUUGUUACUUCUUCUUGGACAAAAAAUAUCUAUCAAGUACAUAACCAUUUAAACUAAUAACAUCAAGAUCUGUAUCAUCAGCCACUUUGACAAUCAUUCACUAAUAACAUCAAGAUCUGUAUCAUCAGCCACUUUGACAAUCAUUC
rnacentral:misc_RNA from 1 species